rnacentral:rRNA from 1 species
UUACCAGGCCUUGACAUGCAGAGAACUUUCCAGAGAUGGAUUGGUGCCUUCGGGAACUCUGACACAGGUGCUGCAUGGCUGUCGUCAGCUCGUGUCGUGAGAUGUUGGGUUAAGUCCCGUAACGAGCGCAACCCUUGUCCUUAGUUACCAGCACGUUAUGGUGGGCACUCUAAGGAGACUGCCGGUGACAAACCGGAGGAAGUGGGGGAUGACGUCAAGUCAUCAUGGCCCUUACGGCCUGGGCUACACACGUGCUACAAUGGUCGGUACAAAGGGUUGCCAAGCCGCGAGGUGGAGCUAAUCCCAUAAAACCGAUCGUAGUCCAGAUCGCAGUCUGCAACUCGACUGCGUGAAGUCGGAAUCGCUAGUAAUCGUGAAUCAGAAUGUCACGGUGAAUACGUUCCCGGGCCUU